rnacentral:lncRNA from 1 species
GGUCUAGCCUACCGGAGGAGAAGCAGUUUUGUGGAGAAGAUUCCAGGCGUCCCUGCCUACACCACCGACUCCAGACAUAUGAGGAGGAGUAGUUUGCCACUGACACUGUUCAGAACUGCUGGCACUUGGUGAUGAUAAUCCAAGGUAAACAUAUUCUCUCCAACCCCAUUAGCAGUGCAAUGUGAAAAGACAUUUUAGAUGUGGAGUCUGGCGAUCACAAGGAUUAACAUCAACUUAU